rnacentral:rRNA from 1 species
UACAGAGAGUGCGAACGUUGUUCGGAAUUACUGGGCUUAAAGCGCACGUAGGCGGCGUCGUAAGUGUCAGGUGAAAUCCCACGGCUCACCCGUGGAACUGCCUGGCAUACUGCGGCGCUCGAGUGUGGUAGGGGAGAGCGGAACUCCUGGUGGAGCGGUGAAAUGCGUAGAUAUCAGGAGGAACACCGGUGGCGAAGGCGGCUCUCUGGUCCACAACUGACGCUGAGGUGCGAAAGCUAGGGGAGCAAACGGGAUUAGAAACCCCCGUAGUCC